UGUGAAGAAGGCCUUCGGGUUGUAAAGCACUUUUGUCCGGAAAGAAAACUUCGAGGUUAAUACCCUUGGAGGAUGACGGUACCGGAAGAAUAAGCACCGGCUAACUACGUGCCAGCAGCCGCGGUAAUACGUAGGGUGCGAGCGUUAAUCGGAAUUACUGGGCGUAAAGCGUGCGCAGGCGGUCUGUUAAGACCGAUGUGAAAUCCCCGGGCUUAACCUGGGAACUGCAUUGGUGACUGGCAGGCUUUGAGUGUGGCAGAGGGGGGUAGAAUUCCACGUGUAGCAGUGAAAUGCGUAGAGAUGUGGAGGAAUACCGAUGGCGAAGGCAGCCCCCUGGGCCAACACUGACGCUCAUGCACGAAAGCGUGGGGAGCAAACAGGAUUAGAUACCCUGGUAGUCCACGCCCUAAACGAUGUCAACUAGUUGUUGGGGAUUCAUUUCCUUAGUAACGUAGCUAACGCGUGAAGUUGACCGCCUGGGGAGUACGGUCGCAAGAUUAAAACUCAAAGGAAUUGACGGGGACCCGCACAAGCGGUGGAUGAUGUGGAUUAAUUCGAUGCAACGCGAAAAACCUUACCUACCCUUGACAUGGUCGGAAGUC
rnacentral:rRNA from 1 species